rnacentral:rRNA from 1 species
UACAGGGGGUGCGAGCGUUGCUCGGAAUCACUGGGCGUAAAGCGUACGCAGGCCGCUUUGCAAGUCGGGUGUGAAAGCCCGGGGCUCAACCCCGGAAUUGCGCCCGAAACUGCAGGGCUUGAAUGCGGGAGAGGGAAGCGGAAUUCCAGGUGUAGCGGUGAAAUGCGUAGAUAUCUGGAGGAACACCGGUGGCGAAGGCGGCAUCCUGGACCAACACUGACACUGAGGAGCGAAAGCCAGGGGAGCAAACGGG